UCACACUAACAGAGAGAAAAGAAGAAGAAAAAAACAAAACAAAACGGAGAAAUGGGGGAUAAAAGGCCCUCGCUAAACUAAGGACUUUGGAGAAGAACUCCCAAAGAAACCUUCGAUGGAGAAUUCCCUGAGGGAAAAACCACUUUGGACGAACCCCCCCCCCCCCCCCCCCCCCCCCCCCCAGCGGAGGCUGCUUGCUGCGAAGAUUCCAGGCUUUCUCCCAUCCCCCACAGUGACCAGACCAGUUCUACAAACCUCGCCGGACCCACGGUGGAUGUGACCUCCUACAAAAUCAGAAAGAUGAGAAAGCUGUCACUAUUUUUGAAGACCUAUACUUGACAACUGUAACAAGAUGUGGACAGAAGAGAUGAAGAAGUCCUAAAGAUUACCAAGCUGAAACUUAAGUGCUCUCCUGAGACCUUACCUGGCAUAAGGCUUUCAACCUUGUGACCCACAUCAUAAAAAGGACAUGGACCUUGAGGAAGAGGAGAACCAUCAGGAUAUGCAGAGGGCUGGAGGAACUCUCCUACAAAAGAAAAUGAAAGAGUUGGAGUUAUUCAGCCUAGAGAAGAGAAGGCCCUAGGGAGGCAUUUUAAAGGCCUUCCAGUACCUAAAGGGGCCUACAGAAAAGGCUUUAUUAUUUUGACCUUUUUAACCUUAUUAUUUUGACCUUAUUAUAAUAAGGCAAAUACUUAUUACUCUUUUAUGAAUGUUACAUAUAAGAAAAGUAUAUCCACAGAGUGAUCACAUUUUCAGCUUAGCUGCAAUCACAUCUAUUAUACAUCAUAUGCUAAAUACAACUUAAGCGCUCAGAUCUCUUAUUACCACGUCUGCAGAUAUAUACUAGCAGCUUCAAUUUGAUGAUAUUACAGCUAGUGCGGGCUAAAAAAACCUCAAUCUAUGGGCAGGGACAUUUUGUUUGUACUAGCCUAUUUAGCAGAGGCUACACAAAUUAACUCACCAUUGCUAGCUUAAAAUGUGUCUCAUGACUAUUUUAAUUGCAGGGUGAAAAGACAGCCAAAAUAAGGGAAAUUUCUUUGGAAGAAGAAGUGAUAAUCCUUACCUCUUUGUUCAUCUGUCAAAAAUUUUCAUAAAGAACAUUCUUUAAUCAGGUUUUAGAUACAACUUCUUAUCUGCUGUGAGCUUUGUAUUUGCAGCCACCUCAAUUAUAGCUAAACCUCUGAAGUUAUCUGAAGUGAUAGAAUGUUUUUGAGAUAUAUAUAAGUAUCAGCUCAUAAAUAAAAUAGGUCAUAUAAAUAUGUAGCAUCAGUGUUUUCCACCAUCAAGCAGUGAAUACAUUAAAAUAGUGAAAUAUCUUAGUCCAAAGGACAUGAUAUAGUCUAUGUAAAACACUAAUAAUGAGAAUGUUAGUUAAGUAGUAAUUUUAAUUCAAUACUGACUUACAGUAUAAAUAUCCCCCUAGACAAUUGCAGCAUCAUAACAGAAUUUGUCUGUUCUUUCAGAGCAUCAGAAACAAAUAGACAAUGUUACCCUUAUAAUUAACUCUUCCAGUUAAGAAAUCUUUUGACAUAUCAACUGUUUGGACUUUAUCAAUUUCAUGUUUUAGUUUCUUUUUGUUGUUUUGUUCUUUUUUGUCUUUUUUUUUUCCUUCCUACAGUAAUUUUUUCUGGAUCACCACACUGAAAAUGCCUACUUUUAUAUAUAAUAAUUUAAGUGUUAAUCAUGGCAUAGCCAUCUGGUGUUCACAUUUCUCCUCCUUUCCUUUGCUUCUUCAGCAGAUAGUAUCCUCAACUCUGCUGGCCAGAGAUCAAAUUUGAAUUCUUCUGUGCCAGGAAAGAGUAGGUAGCUUGCUCUAAAUCUUUAAAUCAAAAUUUAUCUCCUCAGAUGAAACACUUUAACUUUCAUUUUAUUGUAUAGCAGAACAAGAAGCAUGAUCAUGACUGUCACAGUUAAAGUGAUUUUAUUCCAGUGGAAUUUUCCAAAAGCAAGGGAAAAUUUCCAUAGUCUCCACAAUGAAUGUCAACUUUUCAGUGACUACAUCUGAAAAAAAUAUUAAUGUAGAAAAUACUGCAUGGCACUGAGCAUCUUUUAGAGAUAAAAAAAAAAUGUUUAAUAUGUUGCAUAUGUGAUUCUCAGUAAUGACUUUGAACUCACAGAUUAUAUUUGCAGAGUAGAAGUAAGUGGUGAAUACUCUUUAUGAAAGAAAACUUUAAUGCGGUUUCUAUUCCCAUUGGAAUGUGAUUGCUAAGAAAAAAUAUAUUAAAUUU
ensembl:lncRNA